rnacentral:rRNA from 1 species
GACGAACGCUGGCGGCGUGCUUAACACAUGCAAGUCGAACGGACAGGCCCUGCGCUUGCGGGGUGCUCGAGAGCCGCACGGGUGAGUAACACGUGUGUAACCCGUCCCUGACUUACUGAGAACACUAGGAAACUGGGGCUAAUAUCGGAUAGGAGCUUCUGCUCCAUGGUGGGGGUUGGAAAGAUUCGGCGGUGGGGGAUGGACUCGCGGCUUAUGAGCUUGUUGGUGGGGUAGUGGCUUACCAAGGCUUUGACGGGUAGCCGGCCUGAGAGGGUGACCGGCGACAAUGGUACUGAGAGACGGCGCAGUCUGCAACGGUAGGCAACGGUGGAGAGCAUGGCACAGUGGGCCGAAGCCAGAGGCGAAGACGCUGCGAGCGGAAUGACGGCCUUCUAGUUGAAAACCGCUGUCGCCUGAGACGAGGCGUGAGUGACGGUACUGAAUAAAGAAGCACCGGCUAACUACGUG